AAUAAACCGACGCUACGAAAGGUCACCUAUUAUAUUUUCACCCAUAUUGGUUGUGAUAUUACAACAUGGGUUGGUCGAUAUUUAACCAAACACAUAUGUAUAUAUUAAACGUAGUAAAAAGUGAGUAGGUUGGCAUGUGAGUUUGGUUUGCGGUGACCAUACCGGGCAGUUGGGGUUUACUCUGGGACUACUCCGGCUUACACCACAAGGCCACAGUAAAAGUGAAUGUCUUCCAGUUACAAUUGAAUGUCUGGAACAUGCCGAUUAAAUUCACACCAACUUCCGUGAGUCUGGUGAGUAAUUAGGUAACAGUGUUGGUACCAGGUCCUUAAAUCAUCGACCUUCAGGCGCGGAAGGACCUUACAUAUUUCAAAAUAUACACACAUACAGUGUGUAGGUAGGAACAAUGUUUGUUGGCCUUAUCACAGAGAACAUAGAGGGUAUAAAAAAAAGUAACCGCGCAACAUACAUUCUAUGGCAGAUGAGUAUGUUAUCACGAUCCAAGUGACCGACGUACUUCGAAUGAUCGAAGAUUUAUGAACGACGUCGCAAACGAAGGAAAUAAAUGUCUGUGGAAAGUAAUCUGCUGUUAUUGUUAUAUUUUUUCUUUGCUGAUGAUAUUAUAACUUGUUCACGGACUGUUAAAGAUAGGUCAUACAAGUCUUACGUCACCAUGAAUGAAUGCAACAAUUAAUUUUUUUAUACUGUGGGAAGUCCACAAUGCGUCUGUCAAAUUAGAUCGUGUGAGCUAAGUUUCCGGAACUACUGCAACAGAAAAUUGUCCAAUCCGAUGUGAUAGCAAGUCACCAAUCGAGACGUUAACAGAUGGCAUAGUGUACACUCAUACAAAUUAAAACACUUUAUUGAACUAUGGAAACGUACCGUUAAUAUAAGCUCCAGGUGUUGCCCAUAAUCUUAUUAUUUAAUUAUUUAUGACAACCGAUUUAAGCGAUCAGUAAACAUUCAUUUAAAAUGCUGUGUUUGUCAUUUCCGACCUAGAAUGAAAACCGUUUUAAUACUUAGAAUUGUAUUGUAUAAAUGACUAUAACAUUACCUUUAAAAUUUGAUAAUUAAUGUUUUAUCCAAGUGUUUGAGUCACCUAUGACCAGUUCGUAGAUGGUCUGACCAUAGGCGAUAUAUGACUUUGACAGACAUUUUUUCUACUAUGCGCACUAGUGCUUUAUCUUAGCUUUCAGUAUUUUAUGGUUAAUUUCUUAUGGCAAAUUUUAAGGUGAGGUCAGUGGGGGCAAUCAAAAUUGUAUUAUGUAAUAUAGCCUUUAACUGUUCUGUGCCAUAUGUGAUUUAGUCUCAUAAUUCUAAGAUUGUACAAAGCUGUUUUAACUGAUUUCCGGAUUUAGUGAAGACUAUUUAACUUUAUGGUAUAUGAAUUUGGAAGAGAGGUAACUCUGUAGUUCAUGUUACUCUUGCUGUAAUUUGAAUUCAGGGGUUAGCUCCCUUUCAUUUUACAAUAAUUGUACGACGAGUCUUAUGAUGAUAUAAUAUUCUAGUCUCUUAUAACUCGAUACCAAGUGGCAGCAUUUUAUUAUUAUGCUUAUGUUUUAUUGUAUGUUGUGAUUGUAUAUAUGGUGACGAGACUGUAAUAAACUAAUAAAACUAUAAACUUCA